rnacentral:rRNA from 1 species
GGAGUAACACGUGGAUAACCUACCUAUAAGACUGGGAUAACUUCGGGAAACCGGAGCUAAUACCGGAUAAUAUAUUGAACCGCAUGGUUCAAUAGUGAAAGACGGUUUUGCUGUCACUUAUAGAUGGAUCCGCGCCGCAUUAGCUAGUUGGUAAGGUAACGGCUUACCAAGGCAACGAUGCGUAGCCGACCUGAGAGGGUGAUCGGCCACACUGGAACUGAGACACGGUCCAG